CGGACGUGUGUUUAUCUUUAUGAAUCAGGAAAGAACAACAGGAAAAUGGCUGCUUGCCUAAACUCACCCACACCUAAAAUCAGGGAAAUCAUGAAAAACUUUAAAACUAGAGCUGUGAGAACAAGUCACUUAUCUCACCAACAUGCAGCGUCAGGAUGGUGAGGGAGGAAAAAAACCAAAAACAAAAAAACACCUCCACGACUAUUAGACGCCAUCUGCAUGUCAUCUGGUUGAAAGUAAGGCUAGAAAAGGCCCUCGAUAACAAAUCUGGGUAGUUUAAUGAAAGCUACAGAAAAUGGGCACUUUGAUUAAAACAAACUAAAAAUUUAUGCAACAACCACUCCAAGUGGGUUUGGUGUGAAACCAAAGAUGCAUUUCAUGCCCAGUGUUUGGUUUGCUGAAAGAUAUAGAAUACUGUUAUCCGUUUUCUCUUCCAAAUAUCAGCAGACACUUGUUAGAAUUAGUUUGCUACGCCAGGAGAUUUGCACUGGUAAUGGGUCAUUAUUGGUCUUUCAGCAAUAUAAUGGGUUAAACAGAUAAAUCCUGCGGCAUAAACUCAAGAGAAGAGCGCACGAGAAAGGACUCAGGACGAUGAGACUGCGCGAAGAUAAAUGCUCAAAGAUGUCUCCGUUUGCUCCAACUUCAUGAAACUUUAUGCAAAAAGUUGGAGCUGUUCUGACAGCAACAGGAGGUUAAGAGGAAUUUAUCUUUACCGGCGGGUUCCAGUAAGUGAGGGUGGCAUUGUGCAUCUGCAUAAAGACAAGGGACUUUAUCAGAGCAGUUCAGACAUCCUACAUUUUAGGGAGAAACAUUAAAAAAAAAAGUCGAUAGGUAUUAUCAGAACUGCUGUCUUAUACAGCGUCUGCCUGCGCCAUGUGUGCAGCGGGGAACAGAGGGGAACACAAAGAGUCGGAGGCCGGGCUGGAGUGGGGUGGGGUCGCCUGUCUGUUACGCUGUCUGUGGGUGUGAAGAAGAGGAGCUUUUGUGCAGUCAGGUCAGCUACAGCCCCCGUGACAACGGCGGAGCGGGGCCGGCGGAGGUGAGCCGAGUUCAGCCAUGGAAACGGUGGGGGAGGUCUCGCCGUUGGUGAAGGAGCAGUAUGGAAAGAAGCCAGAGCCGGGGGCAAAGUCGCAGAUGGGCUCCGGCUUGAUGCCGUUGAUGUCCAAGCCCGACUGAUCGGGGGACGGCUGGAUGUCCAGAACCUCCUCAACUCGGGCUAGUCUGGACCUGCCUGACAAAGAGGGACACAGAUGCCCACCUAGGGGGGGCUCCCAUUGCAACAAUCUUGGCUACAGCAGCAAUAACAACACCCUCUAACAACUUCCUGUUUAAGAAGACAGGUUUUUAUGACGGCAACAACUCUCCCACCGCUGGCACAUAAUGAACAUUGUCAGAUGUGUUCCCACAUGUUCCAAAUCAGAUCAAUGGUUUCUCCAUGAACAGCUGGACAGUUAAUGGCACUGUCUCGUUAUGUUUAUAUACACUGCUCUCCACACUUAUUGAUUUCCUGGUUGAAUUAUGUAUACUCUCACACUGAAGAAAAAAAAAUCUGGUAAAAAAAGACCUUAAUUCUGAGCAGUGAAAAAAAAAAAGGUAAGAAAUCUUGUCAAAAUGCUUUUUUUGUUAUCAUUACUGGUGUCAAUGUUAUCUGUAUGCCUGGUUGACUCAGUAAAAUGUUGGCUCAGAAUUUUUGU